rnacentral:tRNA from 1 species
GGGAUGGUAGUCUAAUGGCUAUCGCUUCUGUUUCCCAAACAGGAGGUCGUGUGUUCAAUCCCACGCCCGUCCCU